UUUUUUGUUUCUCGGCUUGGUGUUGGGCUUUGCANUUCCUUUGAUUGGNAUAGCUGGCCUCAAAAGCAUUAGCUGGCUUUUCAUGUGGCAUUGNUUCUACUCANCGUGAUAAUGAUCUGACCGCCGAGGACAUCUUUCNGGAUGGCCAAUUCUCAUUUGGGCUGCUUCUAAUUUUGGUAGAGUGNAUUCUGAAUCUGUUCCACUUUU
rnacentral:misc_RNA from 1 species